UAGGGAAUCUUCCGCAAUGGACGCAAGUCUGACGGAGCAACGCCGCGUGAGUGAAGAAGGAUUUCGGUUCGUAAAACUCUGUUGUUAGAGAAGAACAGCGCAUAGAGUUACUGUUAUGCGUGUGACGGUAUCUAACCAGAAAGCCACGGCUAACUACGUGCCAGCAGCCGCGGUAAUACGUAGGUGGCAAGCGUUGUCCGGAUUUAUUGGGCGUAAAGCGAGCGCAGGCGGUCAAUUAAGUCUGAUGUGAAAGCCCCCGGCUCAACCGGGGAGGGUCAUUGGAAACUGGUUGACUUGAGUGCAGAAGAGGAGAGUGGAAUUCCAUGUGUAGCGGUGAAAUGCGUAGAUAUAUGGAGGAACACCAGUGGCGAAGGCGACUUUCUGGUCUGUAACUGACGCUGAGGCUCGAAAGCGUGGGGAGCGAACAGG
rnacentral:rRNA from 1 species